GGAGGAGGUCGAGCAGUCGCUCGCCGCCCCGCGCGGUGGGAGGAAAGUCCGGACUCCACAGGGCAGGGUGGCCGCUAGCGGCGGCCCCGAGCGAUCGGGGGAAAGUGCCACAGAAAGGAGACAGCCCCGCGCCGCGAGGCGCGGAGCAACGGUGAAACGGUGAGGUAAGAGCUCACCAGGCCCGCUCGUGAGGGCGGGCACUCGGUAAACCCCACCCGGAGCAAGACCGAGUAGGAGGGAGGCCCGGCCGCGAGGCCGGACGCGGGCUGCCCGUCCGUUCCCUCGGGUCGGUCGCUCGAUCCCUUGGGCAACCGGGGGACCAGAUGAAUGGCUGCUGCUCCCGCCUCUUGAGCGGGAGGACAGAACCCGGCUUACAGACCUCCUCCGGCG
rnacentral:RNase_P_RNA from 1 species